AUCCAGCUGAUAAGUCCCAAAUAGGACGAAACACUUGUCAAACUGGAU
rnacentral:hammerhead_ribozyme from 1 species